GCAGCAGCCGCGGGAAUACGAAGGGUGCAAGCGUUACUCGGAAUUACUGGGCGUAAAGCGUGCGUAGGUGGUGGUUUAAGUCCGUUGUGAAAGCCCUGGGCUCAACCUGGGAAUUGCAGUGGAUACUGGGUCACUAGAGUGUGGUAGAGGAUAGUGGAAUUUCCGGUGUAGCAGUGAAAUGCGUAGAGAUCGGAAGGAACAUCUGUGGCGAAGGCGACUAUCUGGGCCAACACUGACACUGAGGCACGAAAGCGUGGGGAGCAAACAGGAUUAGAUACCCCAGUAGUCCCUGUCUCUUAUAC
rnacentral:rRNA from 1 species